UACGUAGGGGGCUAGCGUUGUCCGGAUUUAUUGGGCGUAAAGAGCGUGUAGGCGGCCAGAUAGGUCUGCUGUGAAAACUCGAGGCUCAACCUCGAGAUGUCGGCGGAAACCAUUUGGCUAGAGUCCGGAAGAGGAAAGUGGAAUUCCUGGUGUAGCGGUGAAAUGCGCAGAUAUCAGGAAGAACACCCGUGGCGAAGGCGGCUACCUGGACAAUUGCUGACGCUCAGGCACGAAAGCGUGGGGAGCAAAAGGG
rnacentral:rRNA from 1 species